GGAGCACUACAUAUAUGUUGAAAUUAUUUCUAUAUAAUUUACCCGUAGACAUACCACAAGCACAACGUGCCAAGAGGCCCCACUUCUCUUCUUUUGAUCAAUUUUGCCUUUCAUCCUUCUGAUUUUGGCGACCUCGUGUAGUUUCACGGACGAAUAAUGAUUGGUUACAUUUCUUCCCUCCGAUAAGAACAUGGGACACUGACCUCUGAGGUGAUGACCUGGUGAUGAAUACGCACCGACCAUGUUCACUCCUCGGCUAAAAAUAUAUUCAUCAUGUCCACAUUACAGAUUCAUCAUGUCUUCCUGAUCGACGUCAUUUGCUUGAUUCAGUCUUCAAACCCCGCAACUCAAUAGUCAAUGCACUGCAAUGGAGACUAAUAACGUUUCAUCUGUAGCUCCAGACCGACUGAGGAUUCGUAAUUCCCCAAUUCAAGAAACCCAGAAAUGGGCAAAAUGAAAAAGUGAUUGAUCACUUAGAGACGGCUAUCGCUGCAUUCUUGGGCCGCAGCCCGUCACUAGAUCACAGAAUGAUGUUGAAAGAGAGAGGGAGAGGAAAUUGCAAAGCUUUUAUACGUAAAUAUGAAGCUAUACAAGAAUGUACAAAUGUGGUAGAUACAAUUUUAUAAACCCCAUCUCUAAUCUAGUAGACCUUAACUCCACCUACCAACUGACGAAAUAACUCAAGUUGGAUUCUUCUAACCAGAAGCGGGAAGAAGGCACUGAAAUUGCAAUUAGCAAAUCUUUUCAGUGACUUUUUAUGUGAUGGAAACAAAAGAGAUGAAAGAACUAAGCCAAAGCACUUCCUUUUUUCUUUUUAUGUUCUUUUGUGAUUAAUACUACUCAUCCAAACAGCAUGGGAGAUGGAGAUUCAGACUGUUGUUGCGCCUAUCUAAGGUGAGAAUCAUAAUUGUCAAAAAAGGAGUCUGGAACAAUCACUGGCAACUUAUCUAUGUACAUGAAAAGCCUUUUAAGAUUCUCCCUCGUCACUGUCGCCAUGUCCACUAUGUCCCGAUUAUCAGUAAAUACCCAGAGAUCUCCAGAAUUCACUCUCUUCAGACUAUCUCGACAGAAGGGGCAUGACUGCGACCUUGACCGCCAAUCGCGGUAACAUUUCAAGCACAUGGCAUGGUUGCAAUUGGGCAGUACAAUCUUAGUAUUCAUCUCCAUGCAUAUUCCACACUCCUGUUCCCUUUCAAUGUCAACAUCUGUCUGCUGCCUAUGUUCUUCAUCAUCUCUUCUUCGGAACCUUUCCAUACAUGCUGCCUUCUGUUUCUUAUCCUCUGUAUCAGUGACCCCACUUUGAAGCUGCAAUAAAGAGGGAUAAAUAACCGCAUAGAACUCCCUAAUACUCGCUUUUCUUUCAUGAGUAGACAUGGUGGUCGUGCCAUCUACAUAAACCUUAUAAAUUAGGAUUCUCAACAGUCCAAGCGCGCCUGCUAGGUGACAGUCUGACCACUGAACUAGAAAAAGAAACAGAUGAGCAGCUGGGCUAUAUGACAUUCUCAUCUGAAGACAGGCACCAUCAUAAUCCCUUGGAAAAUCUGACGCCCUGCACAUGACAUUGCAGGAUAAGAAUGUAAACAGAGGCAAAACAUAUUCAAGUUAACAACCAAGUGAAUGUAAAGAGGGGGAAAAAAAGCAAGGAAAGCUUUCAUGGCAUGAUUAAAUAUAAACACCAGUAAAGAAGCUGCAGAUGGUAUUGAAACUAAAAGAGCCAAAGUUUAGAUCCUGUCUUAUCCCCUUGUAGCCCCCGAGCUUGAGCUCGUCAUUUAUCAAUCAAUUUACAGGACAAACUUCUAAAGCCACAGAAAUGUUCUGAAAAAUAAUGUCAUACUGAACAUUUGGACGAUAGCCCUUUUUUCUCACACUUUCAUUAAGCAUUCCAUGUUUCCAGAAAGAAGCCUUAAUAUUAAUCAUAUAGCUUUAAAAAUUAUUAAAAAAAAAUGUUAUAAAAGCACAAACAAGUGGAACCCAUUGGCCACGUGAAGCGCAGUGAAAAACUUAUCAUGAUAUAGAUAAUGACAAUCACCCAUGCUCCAACCCCCUCUCCCCAACCACCACACAGAGAGAGUGCUGCCAAUUGCUAAAGCAAAUGCAUGCCACCAGAGGAAUUCCCAAUUUGAAUGCAAUUUCAAGUGAAGGCGUAACAUAAGAGGAAAAAUUAAACCUUAACAUAAGAAUCUAUGGAUUAACACAAGUAUAGUUUCAUCCAUCACGAUUCACAAUUUAUCAAUGUUUAACAUCAAACUCAAAUAUUGACCACAACACCACCCCUUUUAGAAGCCGCCCAAAAGAAUGUGUCUUGCAGGAACAAAAAUGACAAUAAUACACUUACUAUAGCUCUGUGUGUGCCACAGAGAGAGAGAGAGAGAGAG
rnacentral:misc_RNA from 1 species